rnacentral:rRNA from 1 species
UACGUAGGUGACCAGCGUUGUCCGGAUUUACUGGGCGUAAAGAGCGCGCAGGCGGUCGUUCAAGUCGAGUGUGAAAGCCCCCGGCUCAACUGGGGAGGGUCACUCGAUACUGAUCGACUUGAAGGCAGGAGAGGGAAGCGGAAUUCCCGGUGUAGUGGUGAAAUGCGUAGAUAUCGGGAGGAACACCAGUGGCGAAGGCGGCUUCCUGGCCU